CUGGUUGACACAUAGUCAGAAAAGCCCUCUGGUUUACUGGAUCCAAAGGACCAAGAAAGAAAGACUUCUGGCUACCUAAUUUUAGGCAGCAUUUCGAAUAUCAAGACAAAGUAUCAGGAUGGAAAAGAUGCAGGGAUCCAUGCUAAUUAUAUUUUGGCUUCAUCUUGGCUGGGUGAAAGGAGGAAACCAGGUGGAGCAGAGUCCUCCUUCCUUGAGACCCUGGGAGGGAGAUGGCACCUCCAUGAGCUGCACUUAUUCAGUCAGUGCUUUUAACAGUCUGCAGUGGUACAGACAAGACAAAGGGACAGGUCUCAGACACCUCUUCUCCAUGUAUUCAGCUGGGGAUGUGCAGCAGAAGGGAAGACUACGAGCCACAUUGCUGAAGGGUGGAAGCAGCUUGAACAUCACAGCUGUGCAGCAUGGAGACUCAGCCACCUACCUCUGUGCUGUAGUCACACAGUGCUACCCAGGCACCUGCCACCUGCACCCAAAUCUACAGCUGGGCAGGCACAGUUUGACAGAACCCUCUGCAACAGGGCUCGAGCCUAAGUCCUUGUGUGGAGUUAAGGGCUGGGCUGACCAGGAAGGUCAGGAGACAAGUGCUGAUGCUCAUUUGUGCCAGAUUUUUCAUCUGGCCACCCUUCACAUUCUCCUGUGGCCUCUUCUGAGUACAUCAAUCCCAGUGCUCCUUCUCUUCUACCAGAUCCAUCAGAGUCCCUGGUCAGUCAAUGGAUAUGAGAGCAUGUCUUCUUUGGGGUCUGGUGGAAACAGAAAAAAUUAGGCUGUACUUCCAUUUCUAGAAAUCUGAUAAAAGAACUGUAGAUAGGAGCAUAAAUCU